GAAAAAUAUUAAUUUGAAUUUUUUUAACAACUAAAGCUUCAUAAAAUUCUGGUCUACAACUCCUCGCAAGUCACAGCCAUUUUUGCUUUUAUGACCGGCCAAGAAUGAGUAAUGUAAUCAAACGACCAGGCGGACCUGGCCUAAUCCAAGGCCAUUAAAAUCUGCGGUUUUAAAUGGUCCCCAAAAAAGUAAACUGCAAGUUGCAAAGGCAACAUGACAAAAACACUAAGGAAACAACGAUGCCGUAUUGCUCUUCCAAAAAUAUUCAGUACCCCAAAACAAGAAGGUUUUAACUACCGAUGUGUUAAGUUCUAACCGGAUGCCUUUCCUAAUCCAACUUUGUUUUGCUAUAAUUUCUUUGAUUAAUUUUAUAAAGUAGAACGGAAAGUUACCUCAAACUGCAAAAUCCAGUUGC
rnacentral:misc_RNA from 1 species